UGUUAAAAGUUUUAUCUAUUUGUACUGUUAAAAACUGACAUAUUGAUGGAAUAAUUAGAUAGUGACACAUGACAUGCCACGUAUACCUCAAGCUGAGGUAUAGUGACCAAUUUUUAACAAUAGAAAUUGAUGAAUUUUUAAUA
rfam:Gossypium hirsutum cultivar TM-1 chromosome 2, whole genome shotgun sequence